rnacentral:rRNA from 1 species
UACGUAGGGGGCAAGCGUUGUCCGGAAUCAUUGGGCGUAAAGCGCGUGUAGGCGGCCCCGAUAAGUCCGCCGUGAAAGCCCAGGGCUCAACCCUGGGAUGCCGGUGGAAACUGUCGGGCUAGAGUCCGGAAGAGGCGAGUGGAAUUCCUAGUGUAGAGGUGAAAUUCGUAGAUAUUAGGAAGAACACCAGUGGCGAAGGCGGCUCACUGGUCCGGUACUGACGCUGAGGUGCGAAAGCGUGGGGAGCAAACAGG